rnacentral:rRNA from 1 species
CUACGGGGGGCUGCAGUGGGGAAUAUUGGGCAAUGGAGGCAACUCUGACCCAGCAAUGCCGCGUGAGUGAAGAAGGUUUUCGGAUUGUAAAGCUCUUUGAUUAGAGACGAAGAAAGUGACGUUAUCUAAAGAACAAGCCCCGGCUAACUACGUGCCAGCAGCCGCGGUAAUACGUAGGGGGCAAGCGUUGUCCGGAAUUACUGGGCGUAAAGGGUGCGUAGGCGGUCUGUUAAGUUAGAAGUGUAAUACCCAGGGCUCAACCCGGGUGCUGCUUCUAAAACUGGCAGACUUGAGUGCAGGAGAGAGUAGUGGAAUUCCUAGUGUAGCGGUGGAAUGCGUAGAUAUUAGGAGGAACACCAGUGGCGAAGGCGACUACUUGGACUGUAACUGACGCGGAGACACGAAAGCGUGGGGAGCAAACAGGAUUAGAUACCCCAGUAGUC